UCUCUCUCUCGCGAUUAUUUUUACAAGCGAUUGCGUCAAAGCAUUGCGUUCGAAUAUUUUCCGUAAACAAUGUAGUAAUAAAAUAGAAAAAAGUGAGAAAAGGAGAGAGAGAUAGAUAGAGAGAGAGAGAGAGAGAGAGAGAGAAAGAGAGAGAGAGAUAGAGAGAGAGAGAGAGAGAGAGAAAUCACGUAAUACAUAAGGUCAUGAAUUUAUAAAGAUAUUUAUACCUUAAGGAUGAAUAAGGAAAAGAGAGAGAGAGAAUCUUUUGUGGCAACAUAAAUAUAUGGAUAGUAAAAGGAUAGGAAAGAAGACAGAAAGAAAGAAAGAAAAAAAGAAAGGAAAGAAAAAGAAAGGACAAAAUUACUAUAUUUCGACACUUAAAACUAACCGUAUAAAGUUUGUGGUGGGGGGACAAGGCCGAAGAAUCCCGAGGGAUUCCGAUGCUCGAGAAAAGAAAAUAAACUAACUAAUUAAAACUAACUUGUGAGAGAAAGGAUUGAAGGAGAAGGAGAAGAAAAAGAAGAAAAAGAAGAAGAAGAAGAAGAAGAAGAAGAAGAAAAAUUAGAGAAGCAACGAAAUAAAUAAAUACAUACAUAAAUAAAUAAAUAAAUAAAUAAAUAAAUAAAUAAAUAAAUAAAUAAAUAAAUAAAUAGAAAAAAAAUAAAAUAAAGUAAAAUAAAAUAAAAUAAAAUAAAAUAAAAUAAAAUAAAUAUACAUAAAGCUCGCGUGUCCUCGGGCUCCUUCGGAUCGUCGCGUCUUCCGACAAUGAUGUAAUUAUUAACUAUGUAAUCCCUUAACGUUAUAUUUUUCCUGGCGGUGGCACACGAAUUUGACGACGAAUGUGCCCUCAUAAAAAAAAAGGCCGUCUAAAUGAUGCGUCUGAUGCGUGUUCGCGUUGCUCGAUACGACAACGACGCGCUGCCAAUUAUUAUUAAUAAUAUAUGGGCGCGUUCGUCGUAAAAUUCGCGGGUCGCUUACGUUAACCGCCGGCAGUUUGUGAUAUAUUUAGUGAAACAAAUUAAAAUUAAACGAAAAAUAAAAAAGGAAGAAAAGAGAAGGAAAAUAAAAAAGAAAAGUGGUUGUUAUUCAAAUUAAACGGGAAAAAGGAGAGGGAGAGAGAGAGAGAGAGAGAGAGAAUGUGAGAGAGUGAGAGAGUGAGAGAAUGCGAAUGAAGAGAGUUAGGAAAAAAAGAGAUGAACGAUAGAUAGAGAAGGGGAGAGAGAGAGAGAGAGAGAUAGAGAAAAGUUGUAGCGCUCAAAGUGGUUUUACAUAUUCGAACUGAACACACAGAGAACAUAUUUAAAAUAUACUUUACAAUGCACAUCGAAGAACAUUGAUAUAACUAUUAAAGAGAAAAAGAAAAAUAAGAAAUAAAUAAAUAAAUAAAAGCAUAGAAAGAGUAAGAGAUAGGAAGAGUGAGUGAAAGAGGGGAAAGAAAGAAGGAAAGAAAGAAAGAAAGAAAGAAAGUGAAUAUGGACGAGUUCGCGGCCACGCAUGCCUGAGAUAUGGCUCGUUCGUUUUCCUCGCUAAUAACGAAGAUCACACUAACGUCGUUAUGGCAAUAGUUAAUGGCGAACGAUCGUUAGACUCUCGUAACAUCUCGUUUUUCUUCUUCUUCUUCUUCUUCUUCUACUUCUACUUCUACUUUGAGAAUUAGGAUCUCGAUCUUUUUUGUCGAUAGAACGAGAAAGAAAGAUCCCGAUCGAUAUUGUAUCUUUCAUGAGGAGGAAUAGGUGGAGGAGAAGAAGGAGAAUUAUAAUAAUAAUAAUAAUUAUAAUAAUAAUAAUAAUUAUAAUAAUAAUAAUAAUAUUAAUAAUAAUAAUAAUAAUAUUAAUAAUAAUAAUAAUAAUAAUAAUAAUAAUAAUAAUAAUUAAAAAGAAAGAAUGAAAAAAAAAAGAAGAUAUAGUACGAAAGUAAAACGAAUUCCUGCCGAUGUGAUUUUUGUCCUUGUCUAACGCGUAAGCCUCGUAGCUAAUCGCCAUCUCGAUAUUGUUGAAAAAGAGAUUUUAUAUUGAACGAUCGCGGAUAUAUAAUUUUUUAUAAGACUAACUAAGCCCACACACGCACCCCCCACAGACUUACGAUUAUAAUAUAAAAAUAUUGCGUACACCAGACAGUAACUCUAGAUUUCUAGCGCCGGGCGAUAUCUCUCAGCGUUGUGCUCGGGCUCGUUCGAUGUGGUAAAAAGGAAAGAAAGAGAGAAAGAAAGCAAAAAAAAAAAAUAAAAAAAAAAGAGAGAAGAAAGAAGAAGAAGAAAAAGUAUAGAAAAGAAGAGAAAAGUAAACCAAACUAAACGAAAAGUAAGGAAGAAAUAAAUGAAACAAGACAUAAUCUAUAGGUAUUAUUGCGCCGGGAUUAAAAAAGUAACGAUAUUAAAUUAGAAGGGGGCGUUAAUGAAAAUUUUUCGAGAUAUAUAGGAAACGUAUCGAUACUCGCGACGAUUGGAGGUAUGAAUGAAACGAGGAUUAUAUAUUAAGAAUAAAAAAAAAACCCACCCCCCUGACAACCGAGAACACCCACGGCCUAAACCCGUCAAAAAAUAAAAAAAAAAAAAGAAAAAAAAAGAAAAAAAAAA